GCCGGCAUAGCUCAGCUGGUAGAGCAACUGACUUGUAAUCAGUAGGUCGGGAGUUCGACUCUCUCUGCCGGCACCA
rnacentral:tRNA from 34 species